rnacentral:rRNA from 1 species
AGCAGCCGCCGCGGGAAUACGAAGGGGGCUAGCGUUGUUCGGAUUAACUGGGCGUAAAGGGCGCGUAGGCGGGUUUUUAAGUCAGAGGUGAAAUCCCAAGGCUCAACCUUGGAACUGCCUUUGAUACUGGAAGUCUUGAGUCCGGGAGAGGUGAGUGGAACUGCGAGUGUAGAGGUGAAAUUCGUAGAUAUUCGCAAGAACACCAGUGGCGAAGGCGGCUCACUGGCCCGGUACUGACGCUGAGGCGCGAAAGCGUGGGGAGCAAACAGGAUUAGAUACCCCGGUAGUCCCUGUCUCUUAUAC